rnacentral:rRNA from 1 species
GACGAACGCUGGCGGCGUGCUUAACACAUGCAAGUCGAACGGUAAGGCCCUUCGGGGUACACGAGUGGCGAACGGGUGAGUAACACGUGGGUGAUCUGCCUGCACUUCGGGAUAAGCCUGGGAAACUGGGUCUAAUACCGGAUAGGACCAUGGACUUCACGGUUUGUGGUGGAAAGCUUUUGCGGUGUGGGAUGGGCCCGCGGCCUAUCAGCUUGUUGGUGGGGUAAUGGCCUACCAAGGCGACGACGGGUAGCCGGCCUGAGAGGGUGUCCGGCCACACUGGGACUGAGAUACGGCCCAGACUCCUACGGGAGGCAGCAGUGGGGAAUAUUGCACAAUGGGCGCAAGCCUGAUGCAGCGACGCCGCGUGA